UGGCACCAUCUCUAUGGCCAUUGGUACUUGGAAUCAGCUCUUUCCUGUAUAGCAUUUCUUAUAGCAGUCUCCUUUGAGUCAAAAGGACUGAUUAUUUUACGUCAAAGAUACCUACUGGUUUUCCUCUGAAUCUGCUAUUGGGUAUCAAAGAGAUAGAAAUGAAAAUGCUCAAUUAUCAUAAAAAGCAACUGUGCAAGUCACAGUAGUUUCUCUCUCUCUCUCCCUCUCUGCACUGGUCUCCCAUUCUUCCUUUCGCUCCUCUUCCUCUUCUCUCUCUCUCUCUCUUUUCAUCCCUCCCUCUCUUCCUCUUUCUUCUCUCUCCCAUCUCUCUGCUUUGUUUCUGCUUCCUCUUUGUCUCUGGCUUUCUCCUUUGAUCUCUGUCUCUCUAUGUGAGUAUGUCUUUCCUAUCCCAGUUUCCUCUCUAUCUCUAUCUCUUUCUCUCAGGCUUUCUCAGGUUCUCUCUGUCUCUCCUAUCUGUCUUCUGUCUCUGUCAGUCUGUCUGUCUCUCUCACUAAGAGGGUCUGCUUGGUGGGCAUUUGCUUUUCUAGACCAGGAUGAGGCAGUGUUAGGGGAGACACAGCUGAUAUUCUGGGAGAAGGAGAAGAAAGGAAAUUUGUUGUGUGGCCUGGAGCACAGAGGAGAGACUGAAGUUGAAUACAUAGAUCCCUACAGCAUCUGUCUAGAGAAGAUAAUUAAACCCACGGGAGUUGAGGAGGUCACCAAGGAAGAGAGUAUCAGGAAGACAGCUGAAGAAUUCUGGACCAGAGCCCUGAGGACUGAUGCUUAAGGGUCAUGAUAUGGAUGAUGAAUGUUGAGUUAAUUCAGUUGUGUCCAAUACUUCAUGACCCUGUGAACCAUACUGCCCAUGGGGUUGUCUUAGCAAAUGUGCUAAAGUGGUUUGCUGUUUCCUACUCCAGUGACUUGCCCAGGGACACACAGCUAAUGUCUUAGGCAAGGUUUAAAUUCAGGUCUUUCUGACUCCAAACCCAGCACUCUGUCUACUGAGGCACCUGGGAGAGAAUACGGUCAUGAAAAACCUUGGAGAGAAGAGAGUAUCUAGGAGAAGAGGGCUGUCAGUAGUGUCAAAUUUAGUAGAUACAUUAAAAAGGGUGAGGACUCAGAAAAGCCCAUCAGAUUUGGCAAUUAAGAGAUCCUUGGUAACUUUGAAG
rnacentral:lncRNA from 1 species